AGAGAAUCACUGAGGGAUCAUGCAGGGCUGAGUGCCCAUCUGGGUUUUGUAAAGUGAACCACUCAGCUUGCUCUGUGCCUUCCUCCAUGACUGCAGAUUUUGAGGGGCAGGCAGAGAAGGCAGGUUAGUGGUGGAAGGGAGGAGGAAGGGUCACUUCCUGAUUAGAAUUCUGCUCAGAGAUUAUGACAACAUAAAAAGAGGAGUGUCUCAUACCCAGAUUUUGGCAAUGAGCAGUUUUUCACAAAGGCAUGAGGCGCAGAAUGGCCACAGCAGUACCUGACAGGUUGAGUUUGGAAGCAAACAGGUCAAGGAGCUAAGGAUGUCAUCAUUGGUCAUAAUAAGCUCUUUUGCUGUUGUUCCAUCAGCUAUGUUGGCUAGGAUACACAGAGUCUGGAAAAGAAUGAAGAGCCAGCAAUCAAGGAAGCUCUGCGAUCCCCAGAGCCUGGGCAACUUCUCACUGCAAGGUGCACGGGUUCUCACAGGUUCCACUACUGAUGGCCUGGUUCUCAUCUCUCGACACGGCCAACUGUAACCACACCCAAUCAAAGUCUACCUUAGACAAAAGAGAACCGAACCACUCCCAGGUUCUUGCUGAGCAUUAAUCCACAGCCAGAUCUGCUGCAGAAUUCACCUCUGAGGAAUACUUUCAGGACUAUGACCUAUCCGCUACAUAAGCAAAAGAGACUGACACUUUUGUGGUCAUGCCACACGUUACACCUAAAACAGCAUGCGCUACCUUGACCAGCUAUUAUGAUACUUAGGAUCCUAUGAGAGUGGGUUUCUUAUAAUUCUAGGAAAGUCUAACCUUAGAAGAUUAAGAUUUUCUAUCAUCAAUGAAUGUUCAAAGGCCAUCUGUCAAGUGAAUUUUAAAAACACUUUAAGAAACACAGGUCUAUAUAAUGAGGAAAAGGGCAGCGCCUCUCAAUGUGACACUUCUGAAGGAGGAAUUUUCAGUAACUACCUUUGAACCACUGUGUUACCAACACUGCCUUCCUGGUUUCAAUCAAAGUCUGCAAGUGUCAUGCAGAAAAUAAAUUCCACCAAAGGGAAGCUACUAAGUGCCCAAUAACAAGUUCAUAAUUGGGCAGAUCCAAGUCUCGACUAUACCGCCUGCCCCAGGGACUGGAUCGAGGACCUCAUGUAUGCUUAUAAGUACAUGCUCCCCUUGCCUGAACCAGAGAUAUCAUAAUAUAAUAAAACUAACUUUAUAAGG